rnacentral:rRNA from 1 species
UCAUGGCUAAGUGGGAAAGCAUGUGAGACUUCCAUAACAACCAGGAUGUUGGCUUAGAAGCAGCCAUCAUUUAAGAUAGCGUAACAGCUCACUGGUCUAAUAGAGGUCUUGCGGCGAAGAUGUAACGGGGCUCAAGCCAUGCACCGAAGCUUUGGGUGUGCGUAAGCACGCGGUAGCGGAGCGUUCUGAUCGCGACGAAGGAGAAGGGGCAACCGACUCUGGAGCGUACAGAAGCGAGAAUGCUGACAUGAGUAGCGACAAAGCAUGUGAGAAACAUGCUCGCCGAAAGUCCAAGGGUUCCUGCUUAAAGGUAAUCUGAGCAGGGUGAGCCGGCCCCUAAGGCGAGGCCGAAAGGCGUAGUCGAUGGGAAUGCGGUUAAUAUUCCGCAGCUUGGAGAGUGUGACGGAUCUUUGACGUCGUAUGUCCUUAACGGAUUGGGCAUGCGGCCGCGAGGUCCCUGGAAAUAGCCCUCCAUAUGAACCGUACCCGAAACC